GCGACAAACAUGCAACAUGCAUGGGGCGUCUGUGGCUUAGUGGUAGAGCAGGCGCCCCAUGUACAAGGCUGUUGCCGCAGCGGCCCGGGUUCGACUCCAGCCUGUGGCCCUCUCUGUCCCUUCACGCUCACCUGUCCUAUCAAUUAAAGGCUCAAAAAUGCCCAAAACAAUAUCUUAAAAAAAAAAGCAACAUGCAACAAAACUUAUAUAGGGGAGACAGGUAGAGCCUUCAGUACAAGAAGAAAUGAACAUAGGAAAGAGUGUGAAAAGGAAACAUCCAGAGCACAGACCUGUGCAAAAAAAGAAAAAGUGGAGCAGAAAAAUCUGAAAUCAGCCAUCUCAGAUCACUGCAAAAGGGAGAAUCACAUCAUGAACUUGAAAGAGGCCAAGGUCAUUCAAACAAAAGCAACAAGUACCACCGUUGGAUUGCAGAGGUGGUGGAAAUCCGCAACCCUGCAUCCAGAACUGUAAACCGGGAUGAGGGAGCAUACCAACUAUCUCACACCUGGGAUGCAGUGUUACAGAAGUGCCGUCUGUAGGACUGCCGGACAGCGAGGGGCCCCACCCCCCAUCAUCUGGAGGAAUGCCAUCAGAUAGUGUACUUGAUGGCGAGGGGCCUCGCCCCCUGUUGCCUCCUGGAUAGCAGGGAUCCCUGCCGUCAUUCAGGUUCCACCACUCCGGUGGACAACCUGGAUAAAACAUCUACAGGACACGUCACCACAACAUCACGUGACGCCUCUGAUGAUGAUGACAGACGCAGUCGUCAAAACUGUCAAGUUACAAGAGGCACAUGAGAUGUAGCUUGGCAGUCCACCAACAGAUGCUCAUCCACCAAUACAGAACAGGGAUACAACAUGGACUGUGCAUCACAUUGAUACUGGUCCACCCUUGAAUAUAGCAGCUGGAGAGCAGCAGGUAAGGGGGAAGAGAGAGGAUGACACACAGCAAAGGACAGCAGGAGGGUUUUGAACCCUGACUCAGCCUACAUGGGGCGCACACUCUCCCAGGUCACCUGUACUUUCACUAUUCACUGACAUUUAAUAGACUAAAUGAUAAAUCAACAAAUCAAUAAACACCAUUAGGCCCCAAUUAGACAGAGCUCGUUUUAGCAUCCUUUUUUAAAUUUUUUUCAAUGACAGUGAAGCGUUUUGCUAGCGGCAUUUUCAUUGCUGAGCUCCUCACAGUUUCCCACUCUAUAGGCCUCAUGUUUCUGCAGUAAUGCCCUCAACACCUCAAGUAGAAAAAAGUCAUGACAUCAUUGGUUUUCUUUUCCCCAGUGUCCAAUCCAAUUUAGAGGCAAGCUUUUAGUGGUGGUGACAAGUGAUAGUGUACAAUGUUAAGCUAAAGUGAGCUUACUUUCAGCAUCACCCUAGGCAAACUGCAAGACAUAUCUUAACAAACUGGAGCCUCAACUACUUUCUAGUGUUUAACCAACUGUAAUUAGGCCCAUUUCCCAUUUUACAGCAGAGUGUAGCAGAGCUCCUGGACGAACUGGUGGUACUCCCUGUGAUUUCUCUUCUGUCUGAGAGUCUCAUGUGCCCACACAGCAAAAUAGUGGUUAAGCUAAGAACAGGUGAUUUGGUGGUUGCUUUGAGACAAUAAAAAAAAAAAGAAAAAGAAAAGGAAAAAAAAAAAAAAGAAGACGACGCAACAAGCUGCCAAAAACACUCUGUCUGAUCGGGGCAGACUUCAACAAAAAGAGUUAACUGAAGACUUACCGCCUUCCCAGGCCGUGCCCAGGUGCAGAUGAGACCUUCCUGGCAUGCUGUGAUGAUGCAGUCGUCCAUGAACACCAGGACGGUCAGCCUCUCAUGUGCAAUCUUCUUGCACACCA